rnacentral:rRNA from 1 species
AUUGAACGCUGGCGGAAGGCCUAACACAUGCAAGUCGAACGAGUGGCGGACGGGAGAGAAAUGUCUGGGAAACUGACUGAUGGAGGGGGAUAACAAAUGGACACGGUAGCUAAAACCGCCUAGCAGCGGAUGUGCCCAGAUGGGAUUAGAGAGGAGGGGGGGUAAAGGAUCACCUAGACGACGAUCCGUAGCUGGUCUGAGAGGAUGACCAGCCACACUGGAACUGAGACACGGUCCAGACUCCUACGGGAGGCAGCAGUGGGGAAUAUUGCACAAUGGGCGCAAGCCUGAUGCAGCCAUGCCGCGUGUAUGAAGAAGGCCUUCGGGUUGUAAAGUACUUUCAGCGGGGAGGCGUUACCCGCAGAAGAAGCACCGACUAACUCCGUGCCAGCAGCCGCGGUAAUAC